rnacentral:rRNA from 1 species
AUGAACGCUGGCGGCGUGCCCAAUACAUGCAAGUCGAGCGAACAGAUGAGGAGCUUGCUCCUCUGACGUUAGCGGCGGACGGGUGAGUAACACGUGGAUAACCUACCUAUAAGACUGGGAUAACUUCGGGAAACCGGAGCUAAUACCGGAUAAUAUAUUGAACCGCAUGGUUCAAUAGUGAAAGACGGUUUUGCUGUCACUUAUAGAUGGAUCCGCGCCGCAUUAGCUAGUUGGUAAGGUAACGGCUUACCAAGGCAACGAUGCGUAGCCGACCUGAGAGGGUGAUCGGCCACACUGGAACUGAGACACGGUCCAGACUCCUACGGGAGGCAGCAGUAGGGAAUCUUCCGCAAUGGGCGAAAGCCUGACGGAGCAACGCCGCGUGAGUGAUGAAGGUCUUCGGAUCGUAAAACUCUGUUAUUAGGGAAGAACAAAUGUGUAAGUAACUAUGCACGUCUUGACGGUACCUAAUCAGAAAGCCACGGCUAACUACGUG